rnacentral:misc_RNA from 1 species
GCGCACAAGCAGGUGCGUGGGCUGCGACAGGGGCCGCCUUUUAGACCCCCCCCAUUCUUCUCGUCAGCGCCCAUGCAAAGCGACGCACGCGAGUUGAAUCCCGGACGGGCCGACUUCUGGGAGCAUUUCUACGGUCAGGAAGAUGGACGUCUGCAGCAAAAAGAGCUGCACCACCGGAAGGCACGCGAAAUUGUGGAGCGUGGUAGCCUCAUGAACCACUACGAGUGGUUUAUGCAGUAUCCAAUGUACGAGGCGGCAUUGAAGGCCUGUUUGCGAGCGGUACCGACAGUGCUCUCGAAGGACGGCGCUACCCGCAUCCUUCACACGGGAUGCGGCAACAGUGACUUCUGCGAUCAUGUGGAGGGGCUGUUAUCGGAUCUGAAUCCCGCCCCUUCAUCGUCCUCGCGCACGUGUGAGGUGCUCAACGUUGAUAUCUGCGAGAACAUCGUUACCCACCUCGCGCUUCACUUCCCGUCGCGGCUGUAUGCGGUGGGCGACUGCUGCGACUUGCACGUGUCGUCUUCGCCAUCUAUGCCUUUUUCAAGUAAUGCUGCCUGGUACAGCCGCGACACGGCCUUGCGACUCCGCACGGUACUGCAGAGCUCCGUGGACGUUGUGUUCGAUAAGGGGACGGCGGAUGCCCUUCUGAGCUCUUUUGCUGGCGUGUGCAAUCCCAACAUGGAGGCCUACGUGGGUGAGGCGCUGAAGGUGCUUCGUCCAGGCGGCCUCUUGUUCCUCAUCUCGAUCAACAGUGAGGAUGUUCUGAGCCCUUACGUACUCUCCGCCGGCGAUGGGCUGAAGUCGUUCCAGCUGGCGUACGCGGAUGUGAUUGAGCUGUGCGCACAAGAUCUUCGGCAUCUUCGCGUGGAGACCCUGGGGUCCCGCUACAGCUGCUACGGGUACGCCGUUGUGGCGUCUGCGGUUGCAGAGUAGGGGAUCGCUCCUGUGAAGGGCCGCGUGGUGGCGUCUGUUAAGAAUUCACCAAGUAUUGCGCGGGGCGCCAAAUCUUUG